rnacentral:tRNA from 1 species
GAUCCCUUAGCUCAGUUGGUUAGAGCAGGCGACUCAUAAUCGCUUGGUCACUGGUUCAAGCCCAGUAGGGACCACCA